GAUGAACGCUAGCGGCAGGCUUAACACAUGCAAGUCGAGGGGCAGCGCGGGAUAGCAAUAUCCUGGCGGCGACCGGCGGAAGGGUGCGUAACGCGUGAGCGACAUGCCCGUUGCCCGGGGACAACCGGUGGAAACGCCGACUAAUCCCCGAUGGGAUAUUGUGCCGCAUGGCACGAUAUUGAAAGUUACGGCGGCGACGGAUUGGCUCGCGUCCGAUUAGCUUGUUGGCGGGGUAACGGCCCACCAAGGCUGCGAUCGGUAGGGGUUCUGAGAGGAAGGCCCCCCACAAUGGGACUGAGACACGGCCCAUACUCCUACGGGAGGCAGCAGUGAGGAAUAGUGGUCAAUGGGCGGAAGCCUGAACCAGCCAUGCCGCGUGCGGGAAGGAGGCCCUAUGGGCUGUGAACCGCUUUUGCCUGGGGGCAAUAAGGGCGUCGCGCACGUCCGAUGAGAGUACCAGGCGAAUAAGCAUCGGCUAACUCCGUG
rnacentral:rRNA from 1 species